rnacentral:rRNA from 1 species
CAGUCGCCGCGGGAAUACGAAGGGUGCAAGCGUUAAUCGGAAUUACUGGGCGUAAAGCGUGCGUAGGCGGUUUGUUAAGUCUGUUGUGAAAUCCCCGGGCUCAACCUGGGAAUGGCAAUGGAUACUGGCAAGCUAGAGUGUGUCAGAGGAUGGUGGAAUUCCCGGUGUAGCGGUGAAAUGCGUAGAGAUCGGGAGGAACAUCAGUGGCGAAGGCAGCCCCCUGGGCCAAUACUGACGCUCAUGCACGAAAGCGUGGGGAGCAAACAGGAUUAGAUACCCCAGUAGUCCCUGUCUCUUAUAC